UGGGGAAUUUUGGACAAUGGGGGCAACCCUGAUCCAGCAAUGCCGCGUGUGUGAAGAAGGCCUUCGGGUUGUAAAGCACUUUUGUCCGGGAAGAAAUCGCACCUGAUAAUACCGGGUGUGGAUGACGGUACCGGAAGAAUAAGGACCGGCUAACUACGUGCCAGCAGCCGCGGUAAUACGUAGGGUCCAAGCGUUAAUCGGAAUUACUGGGCGUAAAGCGUGCGCAGGCGGUUGUGCAAGACCGAUGUGAAAUCCCCGGGCUUAACCUGGGAAUUGCAUUGGUGACUGCACGGCUAGAGUGUGUCAGAGGGGGGUAGAAUUCCACGUGUAGCAGUGAAAUGCGUAGAGAUGUGGAGGAAUACAGAUGGCGAAGGCAGCCCCCUGGGAUAACACUGACGCUCAUGCACGAAAGCGUGGGGAGCAAACAGG
rnacentral:rRNA from 1 species